GUCGCAGCAUCUUCGGACAAUUUGAAGGUUCUCCGUCCAUGGGGACAGUGUUUCACAUGAUUUAAGGACAGCGAUGGAAUCUCCCCAUGAAGAGAGGACUACAAAUGUAAAGAAAGCUUCGGUCUUGGAGAUCAGGGAGGCCGUAGCAGAAUUUCAAUAUGAUUUCAAAUGUUUCAGCACCACCAGGAAAGUUAUCAAGCUUGACAUCGCAGCAUGCAUCUGAAAUCUGUGGCCGGAGCUCUAUUCGGCUGAAGUAGCCGCACUUGGAGAUCAGUGGAUACUGUUUCAGGAAGAUAUUGAUGAGAUCUGUUGGAAUCUGAGACAUGGCAAGCCUGCGCAAGUAGAACCACGUGGCUGAGUUAGAGCCGUGGAUGAAACAUGAUGAGCAGCAAUAUGUAGAGGUUACCAUGAAUGUUCUUUCUUCUCAAAACCGCAGUCUGCUUCUGCUGCAAUGAAUUUUGAGGGAACUAUUACCCGUCGAUCCUCUUCUGAGGUGAUACCAUCCGAGUUGGUUGCUAGGGGGGGUGAGUAAGUUGAAGGAGUGGGGCAAGGAGAGAGUUAAUGUGUGAGAAGGAAGUUUGUGGAUGAAGGAAGUUGUGCCAUUAAAGGAGGUUGUUGAGGUGGGAUUUCUCGAACAGCAUCAUAAGAUUCAG